ensembl:snRNA U6 U6 spliceosomal RNA
GUGCGCUUUGGCAGCAUAUAGAAUAAAACUGGAACAAUACAGAGAAUAGCGUGGUCCCUGCACAAGGAUGACACACAAAUUCAUAAAGCAUUCCUUAUUUAA